GUCAUGUUGCCUUGUCAUAUUUGACAAGACAACAUUUUGUUUUGUCAUGAGCAGACAUGCAUGCAAACAUUUCCAAUACACAUUAAAAAAACACUUUUGAGCAGAACUUUAUUCUCUCAUUGAAGAAAACAAAAUCAUGGAGGUUGAAUAAUGUCUGUGACCUCCAACUUUACUGGAGCUGAUGGCAUGAAGCGGUUGGGAUGAGGAUCAGCACCUCUAAAUCUCACGGCCUCGGCUCUCAACAGGAAACCAAUGGAUUGUCUAUUCCAGAACGUUUUUCCACGCUAGCUGGCGAUGAAGAUGAUUGAACAUGAUCGAAAGCUCCAGCACAGCAACUCAGCAGCUGUGUCAAAGGUCAAGAAGGAACUCUGAGCCUCUGCUUUGAAACGUUAGAGCCAGAGGACAAUGUGAUGAGGAUUACACAACAGGAUCGAACGCUCCCAAAGCGAACUGACGUUUUGCAUGUGUGCGUGCCGGCUCGCACGCUGGUUUGGAUGUUAAUGUGUGCGUGUGUCACAUACCGGCCCUCCCCCAGGCACUGCAGAGGCCUCUGAGUCUCGUGAAGUCAUUUCCUCUAUGAUGGGGGACCGUGGCUCUGUGGGGGCACAAAGCAUUACAGUCCUCCAGACCAGGACUCACUUGAGUCAGUGCAGACCAGUGCAGACCGGAGGAGCCCGAAGUCACAUCUGGUCCAGUCGCUGCAGAGAAGUCUGCAGGAAAACUCCUUCACCGUCAGACCAGGUUCGAAGGCCACAGACCUCGACCCGACAAGGGAAUGCUCUCCACCCAAUUAUAGAUGGAGAAAAGAGCUGAAUAAAUAAUCCAGUGAUUGAUGGAAACGUGGACAUUCCAACAUGUAUUAUUCUCUAGAACGUCGAUGACGAAAUGUGAUGCCGGAGCCAUUCGGCAGCUGUGUGGAUAUAUUAUGUUGUUUACACCUUUCCUUCUGCUCAAUUUGUUUCUUUUCUCAUGAAGCUACUAAUAAAAAAGACGCCCGAUUGAGCCAUGAUGCCAUCGGUUUCAUGUCAUCAUGUCAUUUCUUUCAAAUGUUCAUUAAACACUGUCUGGUUGAUUCCAGGAUUUCGUCGUUUUCUUUCUCUUAAAAAGAGUUCCUGCACUUAAUCAUCUUGCAUUUUUUUAAGAAGUGUAAGGAAGAAAGAAAUGUGUAUGAAAAUGUUAUUUUACUAUUUUUAUGUAGUUUUUGAUCACAAACUUGUAUUUUCAGUUUAACAAGUUGCCAGAUACAAG
ensembl:lncRNA